rnacentral:lncRNA from 1 species
CACUGAGAAUCUGGAUAACUCCUUUAAAGCAGGUAAAUGGCUUUAGAGAUCUUAGAAGUGCUGUCUCUGGCUGACUCCUGUUAGGUUAGUUUAAGUUGACCUUGAUGGGGAAAGGUUAGUGUGCUGCUACCAGUUCUUCAGGUUGACCACUGCUCUGAAGUCCCUCCUGUCCUGUUUCACCAAACCAAAAGAAACCAGCAGGCAAACUGACUCUUGCAUGUGAGUUAAAUUAAUUUCUUGAGAGAAACCUUCAUAAAGGGCUAAAUAAACAAGAUCUGCAUAUACAGAAAGUUCUGCACUUGAGACACAGCUAAACUCGUCUGUCUGGAAAUCUGAAGACUUUUAUAGCAAACCCUCCAGUGUCAAAAUGAACACAGGGUCUGAUUCCCAGUCUCCAGAUUCAGGUAAAUAAAACAGAGUGUUAUUUAUGCAUCAGUGUAAUGCCAUGUAAGUGGCUGUAUUAUAACAAUCUUUGAUUUAUUUGAUUUCAUUAUGCCAUACGUCCGCACUCUUUAAGGAA